AAGAGGGGUGAUUUCUGUAUUUCCAACUGUGGUACCAGGUUCAUCUCACUGGGGCGCAUUGGACAGUGGGUGCAGCCCACUGAGUGAGAGUCGAAGCAGGGUGAGGUGUUGCCUCACCCAGGAAGUGCAAGGGGACCCAUUCAAGAAGAGGCAAUGGCUUUGGAGCACCUGGUAGUGUGUCCUCAGUGAAGACCAGAGUUUCGUUGUCCUCAAGACUGACCUGGGGAGACGUGGCUGCGGGCCAGUGAGGAAGAUGGCACCAAAAGCAAAGAAGGAAGCUGCUGCCCCUCCUAAAGCCAAAGCCAAAGCAAAGGCCAAGAAGGCAGUGUUGAAAUGUGUCCACAGGCCCCCCAAAAAAGAAGAUCUGCACCUCACCCACCUUCCAGCGUCCCAAGACACUGCGACUCCGGAGACAGCCCAGGUAUCCUGGGAAGAGCGCCCCCUGGAGAAACAAGCUUGACCACCAUGCUAUCAACAAGUUUCCAGUGACCACUGAGUCAGCCAUGAAGAAGAUAGAAGACAACAACACGCUUGUGUUCACUGUCGAUGUUAAAGCCAACAAGCACCAGAUCAAACAGACUGUGAAGAAGCUCUGGGACGUGGAUGUGGUCACAGUCAACAUCCUGAUUCGGCCUGAUGGAGAGAAGAAGAUAUAUGUUCGAGUGGCUCCUGAUUACAAUGCUUUAGAUGUUGCCAACAAACUUGGGAUCAUCUAAACUGAGUCCAGCUGGCUGAUUCUAAAUAGAUGUGUAUCUUUUCACCAUAAAAAAAAGGAAAUAAUGUUUUUCAUAAGAAUGAUGACUUAAAAUCUUAAAGCUUAUAGAUUUGAUUCUAAUUAUCUAGUAAGUAUAAUAUUAGCUUCUUGUAAGCACUC